CUCUUAUAGAUUUUAUAGAAUUUGGUUUUUAGGUGAAGAAACCUAAAUAUAAUUAAAAGACAAGAAGACCCUAUCGAGCUUAAAAUAAUUUUUUUGGCGUGAUGGUAACACCUUACUCAAAAAAAGAUUUUAGUUGGGGCGACUAAGGAACACAAAAAGCUUCCUAUAAACUAUAGCUACUAAUAAGUAUUGAUCCAAAAAUUUGAUUAACAGAAUUAGUUACCGUAGGGAUAACAGCAUAAUCUUUUCUAAGAGUCCUUAUCGAAGAAAAGGUUUGUGACCUCGAUGUUGGACUAGGGUGCCCAGACAGGUGCAGAAGCCUUCAAUGGUUGGUCUGUUCGACCA
rnacentral:rRNA from 1 species